ensembl:misc_RNA Metazoa_SRP Metazoan signal recognition particle RNA
GCCAGAUGCAGUGGCUCGUGCCUGUAGUCCCAGCUACUCAGGACGCUAAGGUGGGAGGAUUACUUGAGCCCAGGAGUUCUGGGCUGUAGUGCCCUAUGCCAAUCGGGUGUCCACACUAAGUUCGGCAUCAAUAUGGUGACCUCCCAGGUGUGGGGGACCACCAGGUUGCCUAAGGAGGGGUGAACUGGCCCAGAUCAAUGGAGCAGGUCAAAACUCCCAUGCUGAUCAGUAGUGGGAUCGUGCCUGUGAAUAGCCACUGCACUCCAGCCUGGGCAACAUAGCGAGACCCCAUCUCUA